rnacentral:rRNA from 1 species
GUCUUUUUGUGUUAUUAUAAAAGGUUUGGCCUGCCCGGUGAGUUGUUUAAACGGCCGCGGUAUUUUGACCGUGCGAAGGUAGCAUAAUCAUUAGUCUAUUAAUUGUAGGCUGGAAUGAAGGGUUUAACGGGGAAAUGCUGUCUUUUUAGUACUGGUUUAAUUUUAGGUUUCUGUGAAGACGCAGAUAUUGGGCUAGAAGACGAGAAGACCCUAUCAAGCUUUAUUAGGGGAUUAUCUAGUUAUGUUUGUGUGGUAUUAGUAAUUCUCUUAUUUUUGUUGGGGCGACAGGUGAGGUACAGUAACUUACUUAGUUUUUAUAUUUUUAUCUUGUGUUUUGAUCCUAUUUUUGCAUUCGGAUAAAGUUACUGUAGGGAUAACAGCGUAAUUUUAUUGGAGAGUUCAUAUUGAUAGUGAAGUUUGCGACCUCGAUGUUGGAUUAAGAUUCCUUCUUGUUGAAGAAAGCAAGAUUAGGCGGUCUGUUCGACCGUUAAAUUCUUACA